rnacentral:tRNA from 1 species
GCAAGUGUAGCUUAACGGAAAAGCGCGCCUUCAACGAUUCUGGUCCGACAUUCCGGUUCGACUCCGGACACUUGCU